CUCUCCCUGGAAGCUCUCGCUAUUGGAUGAGCCUGCGGUUGAUUAGCUUGUUGGUGAGGUAAAAGCUCACCAAGGCUAUGAUCAAUAGCUGGUCUGAGAGGACGAUCAGCCACACUGGGACUGACACACGGCCCAGACUCCUACGGGAGGCACCAGUAUGAAAUCUUGGACAAUGGGCGCAAGCCUGAUCCAGCCAUGCCGCGUGUCCGAUGAAGGCCCUUGGGUUGUAAAGGACUUUAGGCAGAGAAAAAAAGCAGCGGGCUAAUACCCCGUUGUGCUGAUGGUAUCUGCAGAAUAAGCACCGGCUAACUCCGUGCCAGCAGCCGCGGUAAUACAGAGGGUGCAAGCGUUAAUCGGAAUUACUGGGCGUAAAGCGUACGCAGGUGGUUUUUCAAGUCCCGUGUGAAAGCCCUGGGCUCAACCUGGGAAUUGCAUUGGAAACUGAAAAACUAGAGUAGGAGAGAGGGAGACAGAAUUCACGGUGUAGCGGUGGAAUGCGUAGAGAUCGUGAGGAAUACCAGUGGCGAAGGCGGUCUCCUGGUUCACUACUGACACUCAUGUACGAAAGCGUGGGGAGCAACCAGGAUUAGAUACCCUGUUAGUCCACGCCGUAAACGAUGAGAACUAGC
rnacentral:rRNA from 1 species